CCUACGGGAGGCAGCAGUCGAGAAUCAUUCACAAUGGGGGAAACCCUGAUGGUGCGACGCCGCGUGGGGGAAUGAAGGUCUUCGGAUUGUAAACCCCUGUCAUGUGUGAGCAAAUUAAAAAGAUAGUACCACAAGAGGAAGAGACGGCUAACUCUGUGCCAGCAGCCGCGGUAAUACAGAGGUCUCAAGCGUUGUUCGGAAUCACUGGGCGUAAGGCGUGCGUAGGCUGUUUCGUAAGUCGUGUGUGAAAGGCGCGGGCUCAACCCGCGGACGGCACAUGAUACUGCGAGACUAGAGUAAUGGAGGGGGAACCGGAAUUCUCGGUGUAGCAGUGAAAUGCGUAGAUAUCGAGAGGAACACUCGUGGCGAAGGCGGGUUCCUGGACAUUAACUGACGCUGAGGCACGAAGGCCAGGGGAGCGAAAGGGAUUAGAUACCCCUGUAGUC
rnacentral:rRNA from 1 species